ACGGCUCACCACCCACAGAU
rnacentral:misc_RNA from 1 species